AACUUUCGACAAUGGAUGUCUUGGUUCUGGCAUCGAUGAAGAACGCAGCGAAAUGCGAUAAGUAAUGUGAAUUGCAGAAUUCAGUGAAUCAUCGAAUCUUUGAACGCACAUUGCGCCCCUUGGUAUUCCGAGGGGCAUGCCUGUUCGAGCGUCAUUUAAACCAAUCCAGCGUGCUGGGUCUUGGGCUUUCGCCUCUGGGCGGGCCUCAAAGUCAGUGGCGGUGCUGCCAGGCUCUAAGCGUAGUAAUUCUUCUCGCUACAGGGUCCUGGUGGAGGCUUGCCAAUAACCCCAAAUAUUUCAAAGGUUGACCUCGGAUCAGGUAGGGAUACCCGCUGAACUUAAGCAUAUCAAUAAGCGGAGGCU
rnacentral:misc_RNA from 1 species